CUUUUUUUACGGACGUAUUUUGACUGUCAAAGGACUUUGACCGUCAAGAUAAUCCUCUCAUAAUAAACGGCAUUAUUAUACAAUAUUUCUAUUUUCUAAAGUAAUAAGGUGCUUAUUUUCCGGUAUAACAUAUACAUGUCAAACGCGUGUCGCAUUUAUUAUUGGAUCAUGCUGUGUGCAUAUGUUGUGAUAUUAUCGACUUUUGGAAGCAUGUACAUGAAUUAAAAAAUGGAAACGAAUCUCAAAUAUUUCCCAUAUUGUGUGAAUUAGUGAAAAAACUUUUGUGCCUACCACAUAGCAGCGCCACCGCGGAAAGCUUAUUUUCAGCUAUAAAUAUUAUGAAAACCAAAUUACGCAACAAAAUAUCGACUAUUAAAGAAGUAUUACACACUCUAAACCCAAAAUAACCGAUUGCUACUCAUUUGAAGCCACGGAAAAGCACAUGAAUAAAUUUAACAAAAAUAUGUAUGAUUUUAAAAAAGAAAAUGAAUAUUAUUGAAGAUGAGGUAAUUGAGAAUGAACGUGGAAAAUAAUUUUAUUUUGUUUUUUUUUUUUAUUAUAUUAUGAUUAUUAAUAUAACAAUGUAUGUGAGUCCUAGUAACAAAGAACAUUUGUUAUUGUUUUAGUUAUAUGAAUAAAGUAUGAAAUCUAACUUUUUUUACUUUACUAUUGUUUUUUACUUUUUUGGGAUUGGCAACACUGAUUAGAUUCUAUAGUUUGGAAUGAAUGACGAGCGAAUAUCCAUGUUUUUUUAAUGGACGAUAAUGAAAUGGUAACCCCGCCUGCACUGUC